CCUACGGGUGGCAGCAGUGGGGAAUAUUGGACAAUGGGGGAAACCCUGAUCCAGCGACGCCGCGUGAGUGAAGAAGUAUUUCGGUAUGUAAAGCUCUAUCAGCAGGGAAGAAAAUGACGGUACCUGACUAAGAAGCCCCGGCUAACUACGUGCCAGCAGCCGCGGUAAUACGUAGGGGGCAAGCGUUAUCCGGAUUUACUGGGUGUAAAGGGAGCGCAGACAGCCAAGCAAGUCUGAAGUGAAAUGCAUGGGCUCAACCCAUGAAUUGCUUUGGAAACUGUUAGGCUUGAGUGUCGGAGGGGUAAGCGGAAUUCCUAGUGUAGCGGUGAAAUGCGUAGAUAUUAGGAGGAACACCGGAGGCGAAGGCGGCUUACUGGACGACAACUGACGUUGAGGCUCGAAAGCGUGGGGAGCGAACAGGAUUAGAUACCCUGGUAGUC
rnacentral:rRNA from 1 species